rnacentral:rRNA from 1 species
UUACGGGAGGCAGCAGUGAGGAAUAUUGGUCAAUGGGCGAGAGCCUGAACCAGCCAUGUCGCGUGCGGGACGACGGCCCUACGGGUUGUAAACCGCUUUUGUACGGGAAGAAAAAAGGCCACGUGUGGCCUCUUGCCGGUACCGUACGAAUAAGGAUCGGCUAACUCCGUGCCAGCAGCCGCGGUAAUACGGAGGAUCCGAGCGUUAUCCGGAUUUAUUGGGUUUAAAGGGUGCGUAGGCGGGCUUUUAAGUCAGCGGUGAAAGUUUGGCGCUCAACGUUAAAAUUGCCGUUGAUACUGGGGGCCUUGAGUGCGGUUGAGGUAGGCGGAAUGUGGUGUGUAGCGGUGAAAUGCUUAGAUAUGCCACAGAACACCGAUUGCGAAGGCAGCUUACUAAAGCGCAACUGACGCUGAUGCACGAAAGCGCGGGGAUCGAACAGGAUUAGAUACCCUGGUAGA